AGGGGAUCGGAAUGUGGCUCAAGUUCGGGAGGCGUUACCUGCGGAGGGUUUGAGGCAGGUCCAGGAGCGAGCCCACGGUCCGCCGACGCGGGACCAGGGGCGGGCCCCAGGAUCCGGAGCUUCGGGCGGGGCCGAGUCCGGGUUUGGGGCCCGGAAGGCGGGGCCAGUUAGGGCGAGGGUCCCUGGGAUCGUCAGGUCAGGCCUUGGGCUAACGUAGGCACUCUCGCAGUUCCUCCGCCUUCAGGAAAGUCUUUUUAGCAGGGGCCUUACGGGUUCGCGCUUUGGUCCUGGAGGCCUUAUCCUAGCCUCCUCUGUAUCAGCGCCACCAGUCUGGGGCCCGAAAGGAGGGAGCUUUCCCUCUGUCCCCCAGCCUUUGGACUGUCACCAAACAAGCCAUUCGUUCACCAAAUACUUAUUAAGCGCCUACCAUGUGCCUGACAAGGGAGAUGUAACGAUAGAGUCUCUCUCUCUGCCACCCAGGCCAGAGUGCAGUUGACGCAGGGCAGGGGAGCCCCGAAGUGGAGCAUAGUGUGUCCGGAACUGGUGGGUUCUUGGUCUCCCUGACUUCAAGAAUGAAGCCACGGACCCUCGGGAAAUGAGGCUUCUCCCCAGGACCAGCAUUCCACGAAGGCAGCCCUUUUCUAGAUGGAGAAAACAGAACCUGAAGACACCCGUUUCCCUAAACUGCUCUCGCUCAUGUUUCUACAAGGCCUGGAGCUGAUAGGAAAAACCUCCCUUCUUUCCCAAAUGGUCCCCAGCUGCCCCGUUCACUGAAGGCCCUGCAGUCAGGAACGGUCAGGACUUCACACCCAGUUGUUGUGGGUGUUUGGCCGACACGACACUUCCUCUUGUGUGAUUCAUGGACCCGCAGCAUUGCGUCACCUGGGAGCUUUUGGUAUUGAAGACUCUCAGGGCUCACCCGGAAGGACCUGCUGGGCCAGAAUCUACAUUUUAACAAGAUGCCCAGAAACUCCUGGAGGGCAGAGGCAUGCCUGCCAUCUUCAUCAUUGCAUUACCACCACCCAACACUAUCGGGGGACCUGCCCUGAUAAUCAGUAAAACCAACACAAAAC
rnacentral:lncRNA from 1 species